CCUACGGGUGGCAGCAGUGGGGAAUAUUGCACAAUGGGCGCAAGCCUGAUGCAGCCAUGCCGCGUGUGUGAAGAAGGCCUUCGGGUUGUAAAGCACUUUCAGCGGGGAGGAAGGCGUUAAGGUUAAUAACCUUGUCGAUUGACGUUACCCGCAGAAGAAGCACCGGCUAACUCCGUGCCAGCAGCCGCGGUAAUACGGAGGGUGCAAGCGUUAAUCGGAAUUACUGGGCGUAAAGCGCACGCAGGCGGUCUGUCAAGUCGGAUGUGAAAUCCCCGGGCUCAACCUGGGAACUGCAUUCGAAACUGGCAGGCUAGAGUCUGGUAGAGGGGGGUAGAAUUCCAGGUGUAGCGGUGAAAUGCGUAGAGAUCUGGAGGAAUACCGGUGGCGAAGGCGGCCCCCUGGACAAAGACUGACGCUCAGGUGCGAAAGCGUGGGGAGCAAACAGGAUUAGAUACCCUUGUAGUC
rnacentral:rRNA from 1 species